CAAUAAGCGAGGAAAAGAACCAACAGGGAUUGCCUCAGUAACGGCGAGUGAAGCGGCAAAAGCUCAAAUUUGAAAUCUGGCCCUUUCAGGGUCCGAGUUGUAAUUUGCAGAGGAUGCUUCGGGAGCGGCGGCAGUCUAAGUCCCCUGGAACGGGGCGUCAUAGAGGGUGAGAAUCCCGUCUUGGACCGCAUGCCCGUGACCGUGUGAAGCUCCUUCGACGAGUCGAGUUGUUUGGGAAUGCAGCUCAAAAUGGGUGGUAAAUUUCAUCUAAAGCUAAAUAUUGGCUGGAGACCGAUAGCGCACAAGUAGAGUGAUCGAAAGGUUAAAAGCACCUUGAAAAGGGAGUUAAAUAGCACGUGAAAUUGUUGAAAGGGAAGCGCUUGCAACCAGACUCGGCCGCAGAGGCUCAGUGGGCACGUGUGCCCAUGCACUCCUCUGUGGUCGGGCCAGCAUCAGUUCUGACGGCCGGUCAAAGGCCCCCGGAAUGUAUCCUCCUCCGGGAGGUCUUAUAGCCGGGGGUGCAAUGCGGCCAGUCGGGACUGAGGAACGCGCUUCGGCACGGAUGCUGGCGUAAUGGUUGUAAGCGACCCUCUUGAAACAC
rnacentral:rRNA from 2 species